rnacentral:rRNA from 1 species
UACGUAGGGAGCAAGCGUUAUCCGGAAUUAUUGGGUGUAAAGGGUGCGUAGACGGGAAAUUAAGUUAGUUGUGAAAUCCCUCGGCUCAACUGAGGAACUGCAACUAAAACUGAUUUUCUUAAGUGCAGGAGAGGAAAGCGGAAUUCCUAGUGUAGCGGUGAAAUGCGUAGAUAUUAGGAGGAACACCAGUGGCGAAGGCGGCUUUCUGGACUGUAACUGACGUUGAGGCACGAAAGUGUGGGGAGCAAACAGG